rnacentral:ncRNA from 1 species
AAGUGAGGACGGCCUCACCGCUCCAAUAUCUUUAAGGGACGACCCCA